rnacentral:rRNA from 1 species
GACGAACGCUGGCGGCGUGCUCAACACAUGCAAGUCGAACGGAAAGGCCCUGCUUUUGUGGGGUGCUCGAGUGGCGAACGGGUGAGUAACACGUGAGUAACCUGCCCUUGACUUUGGGAUAACUUCAGGAAACUGGGGCUAAUACCGGAUAGGAGCUCCUGCUGCAUGGUGGGGGUUGGAAAGUUUCGGCGGUUGGGGAUGGACUCGCGGCUUAUCAGCUUGUUGGUGGGGUAGUGGCUUACCAAGGCUUUGACGGGUAGCCGGCCUGAGAGGGUGACCGGCCACAUUGGGACUGAGAUACGGCCCAGACUCCUACGGGAGGCAGCAGUGGGGAAUAUUGCACAAUGGGCGGAAGCCUGAUGCAGCAACGCCGCGUGCGGGAUGACGGCCUUCGGGUUGUAAACCGCUUUCGCCUGUGACGAAGCGUGAGUGACGGUAAUGGGUAAAGAAGCACCGGCUAACUACGUGCCAGCAGCCGCGGUGAUACGUAGGGUGCGAGCGUUGUCCGGAUUUAUUGGGCGUAAAGGGCUCGUAGGUGGUUGAUCGCGUCGGAAGUGUAAUCUUGGGGCUUAACCCUGAGCGUGCUUUCGAUACGGGUUGACUUGAGGAAGGUAGGGGAGAAUGGAAUUCCUGGUGGAGCGGUGGAAUGCGCAGAUAUCAGGAGGAACACCAGUGGCGAAGGCGGUUCUCUGGGCCUUUCCUGACGCUGAGGAGCGAAAGCGUGGGGAGCGAACAGGCUUAGAUACCCUGGUAGUCCACGCUGUAAACGGUGGGUACUAGGUGUGGGGUCCAUUCCACGGGUUCCGUGCCGUAGCUAACGCUUUAAGUACCCCGCCUGGGGAGUACGGCCGCAAGGCUAAAACUCAAAGGAAUUGACGGGGCCCCGCACAAGCGGCGGAGCAUGCGGAUUAAUUCGAUGCAACGCGUAGAACCUUACCUGGGUUUGACAUGGAUCGGGAGUGCUCAGAGAUGGGUGUGCCUCUUUUGGGGUCGGUUCACAGGUGGUGCAUGGCUGUCGUCAGCUCGUGUCGUGAGAUGUUGGGUUAAGUCCCGCAACGAGCGCAACCCUUGUUCACUGUUGCCAGCACGUUAUGGUGGGGACUCAGUGGAGACCGCCGGGGUCAACUCGGAGGGAGGUGGGGAUGACGUCAAGUCAUCAUGCCCCUUAUGUCCAGGGCUUCACGCAUGCUACAAUGGCUGGUACAGAGAGUGGCGAGCCUGUGAGGGUGAGCGAAUCUCGGAAAGCCGGUCUCAGUUCGGAUUGGGGUCUGCAACUCGACCUCAUGAAGUCGGAGUCGCUAGUAAUCGCAGAUCAGCAACGCUGCGGUGAAUACGUUCCCGGG